rnacentral:rRNA from 1 species
UACGUAGGGGGCAAGCGUUAUCCGGAUUUACUGGGUGUAAAGGGAGCGUAGACGGACUGGCAAGUCUGAUGUGAAAGGCGGGGGCUCAACCCCUGGACUGCAUUGGAAACUGUUAGUCUUGAGUGCCGGAGAGGUAAGCGGAAUUCCUAGUGUAGCGGUGAAAUGCGUAGAUAUUAGGAGGAACACCAGUGGCGAAGGCGGCUUACUGGACGGUAACUGACGUUGAGACUCGAAAGCGUGGGGAGCAAACAGG